rnacentral:rRNA from 1 species
AAAAGGUUAAGUUAUGAAGAGCGCACGGUGGAUGCCUUGGCACUAGGAGCCGAUGAAGGACGGAACGAACACCGAUAUGCUUCGGGGAGCUGUAAGUAGGCUGUGAUCCGGAGAUUUCCGAAUGGGGGAACCCCCUGCCCUGAACGGGCAGGAGUCAUAUCUGAAUCCAUAGGAUAUGGCAGGCAGACCCGGGGAACUGAAACAUCUUAGUACCCGGAGGAAGAGAAAGCAAAUGCGAUUUCCUGAGUAGUGGCGAGCGAAACGGAAUCAGCCCAAACCAAAGGGCUUGUCCCUUUGGGGUUGUAGGACACUCUACACGGAGUCAAAAAGGUGUGGUGUAGGCGAAUCGGCCUGGAAAGGCCAGCCAGAGGAGGUAACAGCCCUGUAGCUGAAACAUCACACCCUCCAGAGUGGAUCCUGAGUACGGCGGGACACGUGAAACCCCGUCGGAAGCUGGGAGGACCAUCUCCCAAGGCUAAAUACUCCCUAGUGACCGAUAGUGAACCAGUACCGUGAGGGAAAGGUGAAAAGCACCCCGGAAGGGGAGUGAAAGAGAUCCUGAAACCGUGUGCUUACAACUAGUCGGAGCCCCUUAGAGGGUGACGGCGUGCCUUUUGUAGAAUGAACCGGCGAGUUACGAUCCUAAGCAAGGUUAAGCUGAAGAGGCGGAGCCGCAGCGAAAGCGAGUCUGAAUAGGGCGAGAGUUUAGGGUUGUAGACCCGAAACCGUGUGAUCUACCCAUGUCCAGGGUGAAGUUCAGGUAACACUGAAUGGAGGCCCGAACCCACGCACGUUGAAAAGUGCGGGGAUGAGGUGUGGGUAGGGGUGAAAUGCCAAUCGAACACGGAGAUAGCUGGUUCUCCCCGAAAUAGCUUUAGGGCUAGCCUCGAGAAACGAGUGUUGGAGGUAGAGCACUGAUUGGAUGAGGGGUCCCCACAGGAUUACCGAGUUCAGUCAAACUCCGAAUGCCAAUUACUUAGUCUCGGGAGUCAGACGGCGAGUGAUAAGAUCCGUCGUCGAAAGGGAAACAGCCCAGACCACCAGCUAAGGUCCCAAAGUAUACGUUAAGUGGCAAAGGAUGUGGCGUUGCUUAGACAACCAGGAUGUUGGCUUAGAAGCAGCCAUCAUUGAAAGAGUGCGUAAUAGCUCACUGGUCGAGUGGCGCUGCGCCGAAAAUGUAACGGGGCUAAACGUAUCACCGAAGCUGUGGAUGACAACUGUCAUGGUAGGGGAGCGUUCUAAGGGCAGAGAAGGCAAACCGGAAGGUUUGUUGGAGCGCUUAGAAGUGAGAAUGCCGGUAUGAGUAACGAAAAGAGGGGUGAGAAUCCCCUCCGUCGAAAGCCUAAGGGUUCCUGAGGAAGGUUCGUCCGCUCAGGGUUAGUCGGGACCUAAGCCGAGGCCGAAAGGCGUAGGCGAUGGACAACAGGUUGAUAUUCCUGUACCACCACAAGACGUUUGAGUGAUGGGGGGACGCAGGAAGGUAGGGCCAGCGCGCGACUGGUUGAGCGCGUUCAAGCCGUAAGGCUGGUGACGAGGGAAAUCCCGUCACCACAUAAGCUGAGCGGUGAUGAGGAGGGAAAUAAAGUACCGAAGGGCCUGAUCCUACACUGCCAAGAAAAGCCUCUAGCGAGUCUUAAGGUGCCCGUACCCCAAACCGACACAGGUAGGCGAGGAGAGAAUCCUAAGACGCUCGGGAGAACUCUCGUUAAGGAACUCGGCAAAAUGACCCCGUAACUUCGGGAGAAGGGGUGCUUGUUCGGGUGAAAGCCUGAGCGAGCCGCAGUGAAAAGAUCCAAGCGACUGUUUAGCAAAAACACAGGUCUCUGCAAAACCGAAAGGUGACGUAUAGGGGCUGACACCUGCCCGGUGCUGGAAGGUUAAGAGGAGAUGUUAUCCCUUCGGGGAGAAGCUUCGAAUCGAAGCCCCAGUAAACGGCGGCCGUAACUAUAACGGUCCUAAGGUAGCGAAAUUCCUUGUCGGGUAAGUUCCGACCCGCACGAAAGGUGCAACGACUUGGAUACUGUCUCAACGAGAGACCCGGUGAAAUUAUAGUACCUGUGAAGAUGCAGGUUACCCGCGACAGGACGGAAAGACCCCAUGGAGCUUUACUGUAGCUUGAUAUUGGAUGUUGGUACCGUUUGUACAGGAUAGGUAGGAGCCAGAGAAGCCGGACCGCCAGGUUCGGUGGAGGC